UACGUAGGGUGCGAGCGUUGUCCGGAAUUAUUGGGCGUAAAGAGCUUGUAGGCGGUUUGUCGCGUCUGCUGUGAAAAUCCGGGGCUCAACCCCGGACUUGCAGUGGGUACGGGCAGACUAGAGUGUGGUAGGGGAGACUGGAAUUCCUGGUGUAGCGGUGAAAUGCGCAGAUAUCAGGAGGACCACCGAUGGCGAAGGCAGGUCUCUGGGCCACUACUGACGCUGAGAAGCGAAAGCAUGGGGAGCGAACAGG
rnacentral:rRNA from 1 species